GGUUCUUUAGCUCAGAUGGUUAGAGCGUCCCGCUCAUAACGGGAAAGUCGCAGGUUCGAGCCCUGCAAGAACCA
rnacentral:tRNA from 1 species